rnacentral:lncRNA from 1 species
GCAUACUUCUCCCAUGGACCACACACCACUUGGCACCUAAAGAAGAAAAGAGAGGGGACCAGAACCAGAUGGCACCCCCGGCCUUACCGUGGGCCUCCUGUGGCGAUGCCACUGUCUCCAUCUUCCCAGCCCUGGCUGCAAUUCUGGACCAGGAGGCAAACACGGAAUCUGGGGCCGAAGUGGUCACAACAACAGUAUUGACCCCCUCCAGGAGAGCAUCAGACCCCUCAGCGGGGGCAGCCACUUCAGGAGGGUUGGGAUUGGCCAGCCAGGUAGUCUUCCCCCGACUUCGUGGAGCCCUGCCGGCGACAGAGGAGCCAGUCACUCUUCCCACCACCGCACACACUACCUGCCUCAAGAUAACUCGCAUCCACGGCGCCAGCAUGGUCCCUAUCCACCACUGGCAUGUGGAUUCUCCUCUGGGAAAUCACCUUAACCUCAGGUUUGCUUGUAAGACAGGGAAGAUGGGAGGCUGA